rnacentral:rRNA from 1 species
GAUGAACGCUAGCGGCAGGCCUAAUACAUGCAAGUCAAGGGGCUCGCAAGAGCACCGGCGGACGGGUGCGUAACGCGUACACAACGUACCUCAGAGCGGGGGAUAGCAUUGGGAAACUGGUGGUAAAACCCCAUGGUGUUGCUGAAUGGCAUCAUUUAGCAACUAAAGUUUACACUUUGAGAUCGGUGUGCGUCUGAUUAGCUAGUUGGCGGGGUAACGGCCCACCAAGGCGACGAUCAGUAGGGGGGUGUGAGAGCAUGACCCCCCACAUGGGUACGUGAGACACGGCCCGACGACUCCGUACGGGAGGC